rnacentral:rRNA from 10 species
GCAUCGAUGAAGAACGCAGCGAAAUGCGAUACGUAAUGCGAAUUGCAGAAUUCAGCGAGUCAUCGAAUCUUUGAACGCACAUUGCGCCCGCCAGCAUUCUGGCGGGCAUGCCUGUCCGAGCGUCAUUU